rnacentral:lncRNA from 1 species
AAUAAUAAUGAUCCUCAGAAGUUCUUUGUUCUUCUUUCAACAGCAAUCAGAACUGUUGAAUUUGAAAAUAUUUGGUACCAAGAUUGAGAGACAACAUCAGGCCACGUUUGACUUUGGUUAAGAAAUGGAGUUGAAGUAGCUGUGUCAACACAGUGUUUGAGAUUUGAGCAAAGGCAUUUGAAGUUACACUCAACAUCUGUGAAAUAUUCCUCGGAAGCUUCAGUCCCGCUGAAGGACCGGUUUCCUCAGUUCUUUGUGGUCUUUGUGCACCUUUGGGACCUACGACACUUCCUGGUCACUUCCGCAAAGACAGCGGAAAUGAAAUCACACCAAGUAAGAGUUCCUUAUUU